GCCGCCAUAGCUCAGUCGGUUAGAGCGUGGGUCUAAUAAGCCCAAG
rnacentral:tRNA from 1 species